rnacentral:lncRNA from 1 species
GUGAAGCGCAACAGCACGGUGGACUGCAACGGCGUGGUGUCACUCAUCGGGCCCGGCUCACACAUCGGGCGGCUCCUGCCUGAGGUGAAAAUAGAUAAGGCAGCUACGGACAGCGUAAGGAAGGACACGGUGGGCCGGGCUAGGCAUGGCAGCCUCCCCUCCUGCAGCCUCCUGCCUGCCUUCCCGGCCUCGUGGUCUGCCUUCCUUUCUCUCCACCGUCCCUCCUUGGUUUUUCCUUACUUGCCCUCAGUCUUCCCUGACUCCUUUCUGUAGUCUCUGCUUCAUCUCCUCCUGCCUUUCUCGGCUACUCUUUCCCUCCAUUUGAGCAAAUCAGGCCGCCCUCCGCCCCUCCCAUACACACACGCUUUGAUUGACUGCAGGAGGAAAUGAAAAAAAAAAAAAAAAA